UAAUAUUACAAAGGUAGACUAAAGUCUACGUGUUAUUCUAAGGAAACAACAACACACAUAUUUCACAUGUAAAUAAAAGAUCCUUGGAAGAAACCAACUUCAAACUAUUUAUUCCUCACCUGCAAAAUAUUUAAAGGGGUGAGCAUAAUAAGCGCAGUAGGAAACAAGAAUUUCACACAAGCAUGUAACCCAAUGAAACAACAAUUAGAGCAAGCACAGAGGUUCCCCAAGUUUUCCCCUUACCUUUGUCGAUACUCACAGCAAGUUCCUAAUAAAAAGAUACAACCAUUAGUUGAACAAUCUUAUACUAAAUCCAUUUCAUUUAGAACUUAAAUUAGGAAUUAGGUAACAUGCUAAAACAAGAGCUAAAGUACCAAAACAGUUUCUUUCAUAAACAGGCUUUUCUGAACCAGUUACAAACAGAUUGAAAACUGUACAAAACCGUUCAUAUAUUGACUUCAAAGUCUUCUAAUGACUUAUAGCAGGCAAACAGAAGAAACUAUGAGAGUUGGAAUCACCCCAAAACGAUUUUUCUAUAAUUAGUUAUACAAUUUCAAAGUUCAGAUACAGUUCAGCAAAUUUUCUGCAAAUUUGCUGAUAUAUGCCUACUUGUACUUGAAAGCAUAACAAACACUAUUAUGUAACUAAAACUAUUGAUUACUAAAUAAUAACACUUCAAUGUUCAAAAAAAAAAAAACAACACACAAAGAUUGCACUCAAAAAGCCUAAAAUUACCACAAAGAUAGCUAACAGAAAAAUAUGCAAUAAUCUAACUUCUAAAUUUUUGAGCAACUUUAAGCAAUCUAAAAUCAUGGUUUCUACUUUCAAUUGUAGGAACUAAUAACAUGUAUAGGAACUUCAUAAUCUAAUCAUUACAUACGUACAAUCUCAUAUCAAAACAACAAAAAUUCAAAAGUAAAGAGUGCAAUUAAAAACAGAAAUCUGAAAUCACAGAACAACUUCCUGACCAGUAAACUUUAUGGCUAAAAAUGACAUAGCUUGGCUGGGAAUUUACAGUUGGUGUCUUCAUAACUAUUGUAACAGAGAUUCUAAAGAUCAAUUAGAAACUGGAAUCGCAGCAAAAGGAAUUUUUUACAAAUACUUAUGAUUUUCGAAAGUAGAAGACCAGAAUCAGAAAAUUACAGCUUUUGACUCAAAUCAAGUUUCCCUUUUCAAAGAUGAUUCCCAGUAGGUAACAACAAAGAAAAACCCAAUCCUAAUGUUUUACUUCAUACCAAGAUGAUCCUCUAUAACAAGAAGCAUAUAUACAUAAGUCACAACAUGGUUCACAAAGGAAUAACCAAUUGAUCAAGAAUAUAAAUAAAAUACAAAACCUGAAUUCUUCUGCCAAUUUCCUACAACACCAAUUUCUUCUCUCUCUCUCUCUCUCUCUCU
rnacentral:lncRNA from 1 species